rnacentral:rRNA from 1 species
GACGAACGCUGGCGGCGUGCUUAACACAUGCAAGUCGAACGAUGAACCCGGAGCUUGCUCCGGUGGAUUAGUGGCGAACGGGUGAGUAACACGUGAGUAACCUGCCCUUGACUCUGGGAUAACUGCGGGAAACUGUAGCUAAUACCGGAUACGACCCUCGGUGGCCUCGCCAGGGGGUGGAAAGAAUUUAGGUCGAGGAUGGACUCGCGGCCUAUCAGCUAGUUGGUGAGGUAACGGCUCACCAAGGCGACGACGGGUAGCCUGCCUGAGAGGGUGACCGGCCACACUGGGACUGAGACACGGCCCAGACUCCUACGGGAGGCAGCAGUGGGGAAUAUUGCACAAUGGGCGCAAGCCUGAUGCAGCAACGCCGCGUGAGGGAUGACGGCCUUCGGGUUGUAAACCUCUUUUAGUAGGGAAGAAGCGAAAGUGACGGUACCUGCAGAAAAAGCACCGGCUAACUACGUGCCAGCCGCCGCCGUAA